rnacentral:tRNA from 16 species
UAGCUCAGUUGGUAGAGCAGUUGACUUUUAAUCAAUUGGUCGCAGGUUCGAAUCCUGC